CUUCUAUAAAUGUCCCUAGACUACCCGGCCAUCCAGAGGUCUGAAAGGGGCAAAUGGAUCAGCACCGUUCGUUCCACCUGCGCCAGUAAUUUUGCUUCCCCGCUUUUCACCUCAACCGUUCAAUACGGUAAAUGUUUUUUCACCAGUUGCUUCAGGUUCUUGGUGCAUGGCAACUGGGCCAGAGCGCGUGCGGGACCUUCAGGCAGAGAUAGCGGAGGCAGCUCAUUCCCGUCGGUCUUCUCCUAUCCAUGUGAUGCACCGGUGAAAACCUAGCGCCCCAAUCCCCCGUCUCGUCUCCUCCUCCAAUCCCCUCGCCUCACGCCGCUCCUCCAAUCCCCCGCGUCGUCCCUCGCCGCCUCGCCUCCUCGGCUCCUCCCCGAAUCCACUCCUACUCUCCUCCUCCCCCAACCUGAUGGCGGCAGCAGGUCGGCGAACGUGGUCAGUGGAUGGAGGAGAAUUUUGUGGAGGCGAGCAGCCGCAGAUCGGAUUUUUUCGCGGCCGUGGCGGCGCACAUGGAGGAACAAUGCCCGCUCCUCGUGCUUGCCGCGUAGGAGGUUGGGGAGGACCAGGAGAAGGCACGCGGGGUUGGCCUUGGCUGGCCUGGUUCGUCGCGCGCGCGGGGAGACCGGCGGCGGCGGCCAGGGCCCGUCGACGAGCGCUUCCGCAGGAGGAAAAGAAGAAGAGGAGGUGGCGCUGGGAGACCGGCUAUGGCAACGGUCGGCGAGCUCCGCCACGAUCGACCACGAGCCGCCACCGCCGUCGGGCCUCUCCCCCUCAACCCACCCAGCGCUGGAGGUGGAGGAGCGGUCAAGGGUGGCGCUGGGACGGAGGAGGAGGAGCAUGGAUUUGGCGCCGACGAGCUUCUCCACGAUCGGUCCAUGCCUGAGAUGGCGGGGGCACGGUAUGUGUGAUGGGGCUGCUCCGUGAAAUCCAUGGACGGCACCUCGCUGACGGGAUCUGGCCCCAUUUGGGAGGCUCGUGGGUGGCGGCGACAAUGAUGUUGUUGGAGAGGAUGCGGGAGGAGGAGGGAGACGGAGCUGUGCUGGCCGCUCAGCGCCUCGCCCCCACCCUCGUCGGCUCCCGACGCCAGUCCUACGCUGUGGAGACUACGAGCACGUCUGAGAUGGAAAGGCCAGAGGAUUUCCAUGGCUAGGAAGCUGGAUAAAAUCUCCAAGCUGAACUCCCCGGUUGUUUGAUUUGAUUUGAUUUGAGAAGUGGAGUAGAACCACUCACCAUUCCCAGGCCAUCUCGCCCCCAAACUUUCGUUAUUUGAAAACUCAUUGAUUUGUUUUGCUGAAAAUAUCAGUGCUCUUUGAUGUGAUGAGUAGCUUCGUAUUCAACUAUGCCCUUCGUAUUCAA